rnacentral:rRNA from 1 species
GACAGAGGAUGCAAGCGUUAUCCGGAAUGAUUGGGCGUAAAGCGUCUGUAGGUGGCUUUUAAGUCCGCCGUCAAAUCCCAGGGCUCAACCCUGGACAGGCGGUGGAAACUACCAAGCUGGAGUACGGUAGGGCAGAGGAAUUUCCGGUGGAGCGGUGAAAGUGCGUAGAGAUCGGAAAGAACACCAACGGCGAAAGCACUCUGCUGGGCCGACACUGACACUGAGAGACGAAAGCUAGGGGAGCGAAUGGG